rnacentral:rRNA from 1 species
ACGUGGGUAACCUACCUAUAAGACUGGGAUAACUCCGGGAAACCGGGGCUAAUACCGGAUAAUAUUUUGAACCGCAUGGUUCAAUAGUGAAAGACGGUUUCGGCUGUCACUUAUAGAUGGACCCGCGUCGUAUUAGCUAGUUGGUAAGGUAACGGCUUACCAAGGCGACGAUACGUAGCCGACCUGAGAGGGUGAUCGGCCACACUGGAACUGAGACACGGUCCAGACUCCUACGG